AAGCUAGGCUAGCUCGUUAAAUUAAAGCUAGGCUAGCUAGUUAAAUUAAAGCUAGGCUAGCUAGUUAAAUUAAAGCUAGGCUAGCUAGUUAAAUUAAAGCUAGGCUAGCUAGUUAAAUUAAAGCUAGGUUAGUUAGUUAAAUUAAAGCUAGGCUAGCUAGUUAAAUUAAAGCUAGGUUAGUUAGUUAAAUUAAAGCUAGGUUAGCUAGUUAAAUUAAAGCUAGGUUAGCUAGUUAAAUUAAAGCUAGGUUAGCUAGUUAAAU